GUCCUUGUGGUUGAAUUAUUGAUAUUUUUAGGUCUGACCUUUAACCUCAAUUUCACAAAAUUGUGACCACUCUGGAUUUUUACGACCCAAUUUUUCUUAUUUUAUAUGUUUUCCUCUUUCCGUCGUUAUAUAAUUUAGGUGUGUGUUCUUCCGGACCAUUAAAGUUUUAAAAAAUGACCUGUGGUUGCAGUACUACUAGUGCGGACAAUUUUUAUUAUAUUUUCGGUAAGGGUUGGGUUGGGUGUCCGACCCCGACUUUGGUCAUAUCUUUUGAAAAUAAAAUAAGCCAAAUAACAACCUUGAUUUUUUUCUCCAGUAGACAUCAGCUAGCCUACCCAGCUCCCCUUUACACAUUGUGCGGACAAAUGUAUGGCCGUUGAAAUGUGUUUUAUAAUCUUUUCGGUAAUGGCAGGGUAGGGUGGUUAGCUGAAGUCCACUUGAAAAAAAAGUGGCCUCCAAUGUGGUUUUAUGCAGAACAGUAACCCGCAAAUCUAUGGUAGUUUGCAAAAAAUAAAAGUAUUUUUUGUUAUAAUGUGAUAUGUAAUAUGUUGGCAAAUAAUGAAAGCUCGUAUCUUAAUUAAUAGACAUCGAAAUAAAGAGAAACCGUAUGAUAACCAAUACAAAUCUCCCAGAGACAAACUAACAUUGAUUAAGGCAACUAGUAUGAUGGUCUGAAUUCAUGGUUCUUAAUUUCUGUAUUCUUUGAUAUUUUAGGCCAUUUUUCUCUAUUCUUUAUACUUUUUGCCAAUUAUUCUCUUCUCUUUAUAUUUUACACCAUUAUUCUAGCUUUUUUAUUUAUUUCUUGGUCCAUUGUCUCUAUAAUUUAUAUUUUUUGUCAACUAUUCUCAAUAACAUAAUACCCCAACAACGCCCUCUAGUUCAGGUCACCAUAUAUGUAGCCUUCACAAAUAAGCAAAACAAAAACCCUAUAGGCUCCGAAUGCCAAAAUAAUUGAAUGCUUGUCCAGGUUUGAAUUGUGAAAUUGCGGAAAAUUGUUUUUUAAUCAAUCUAUCAAGCAAAACAUAUUAUCGUCCUCGAUGUUCACGGUACUGACAAUACUGGCAGAUGGACGUUGGUCAUCAAUUCUAAUAAUCUUAGAUCGACCUUUCUAAACUUAAAAGUAAAGUUCACGCACCCGGUUCCUGAUUGUUAUUAAAGACUUUUGAUCUGACAACCGCUGUGCAUGUAUACUUUAACGACUAGGCUAGUUUUCUUGUCAGUUUUAAAAAGUAAUUACCUCCC
rnacentral:lncRNA from 1 species